AAUGAACAUUAUUUCAUUUAACAAUACAAUGUUAAUAAUUACUUUUUGACAAUAAUCACAACAUUUGUCGUACUUUUUUAAACCAGAAAUUGUCACUACUCGAGCGAAUGGAGAUAACUUCGAGUGACAAAAACGGCAGCAUUAAAUGCAAGUUGUGCCAAAAUGAGUAUUCAAACGAAGCGCAGUUCCUCGAACAUCUGAAGGAGAAUUUGAACUGCGAAAAGUUGACUUGUGACGUGUGUCGGAAACAGUUUAAUUGGAUCUGCAAUUUGAAAACACACAAUUUACUACAUUCGAACGAAAAGAAAUUUAAAUGCGAGGAAUGUGAUUAUUCCACCGGAGUUUUAUCGAAUUUUAAAAGACACAAAAAUAAACACUCAAAAAAAGGACUUUAUAAAUGUAGCUAUUGUGAUUAUUCGACUGCAUGGAAAAGCAAUUUAGACAGACAUAUUUUGGUAAAACAUUCGAUAGAAUAGAAUUUCACUGAAAAAGUCUCGCCCAGAUAUCUGAAUUUGGAAAAAUAUCGAUGCAAAUUUUGCUCGAAACUUUGUUCAACUCCAUCCGCUUUAAAACUUCACCAGAGAAGUCACACGAGAGAAAAACCGUUUCAGUGUGAUUAUUGUUUUCGAAGAUUUACACGACAAGAUAAAUUAAACAAACACAAGCGAAUAAUUCAUUCGACAGUAGAAAAACAAUUUCCGUCUCAGCAAAUUACAGGAGAAAGUACAUCAAAACCUUUCAAAAUCUCGGAACUGAGUGAGAUGCACUCUUCUGCCGAAAUCUCAGCAUCGAGUUCGGUACAAGAAGAACCAGAAAGAUAAACCAGAAAGAUAAACCUCUUAAAGAUAAACCUUCUUAAAAGAAACCAGAAUAUAAACCAUUGCAAUUUUCUGAAAAAAUAUGGCAAUGUCAUCAAUCUCGCUUUACGACACACUCCGAGAAAGAAUGGUUCCUACAUAAACAGACACACGUUGACGAAGCUCCUUGCACGUCAAAGGUAUUUAAUUGUUGUAUUCUGUUUAAAAGUUUUAGUACUUUGUAAAUAAGCAUUCAGUUUAAGUUAGCAAAAGACACCAGCACACCAGCCCUUCUAUACUAUAAUUUACUAGUGCACCAGGGCUGGUGAGCGAGUAAAUUAUAGUACAGGAAAGUUAAUUUUUAGUUUAUAAAAUCGAAUUUCUCGCAGUUUUAUGAAUAAAACACAUUGUAAUAAGUAAUAGUAAGAUUGUUGAUGUAAAUAUAGU